rnacentral:rRNA from 1 species
UGGGGAAUAUUGCACAAUGGAGGGAACUCUGAUGCAGCGACGCCGCGUGAACGAAGAAGGCUUUCGAGUCGUAAAGUUCUUUUAUAUGGGAAGAUAAUGACGGUACCAUAAGAAAAAGCCCCGGCUAACUACGUGCCAGCAGCCGCGGUAAUACGUAGGGGGCUAGCGUUGUCCGGAAUCACUGGGCGUAAAGGGUUCGCAGGCGGAAAUGCAAGUCAGGUGUAAAAGGCAGUAGCUUAACUACUGUAAGCAUUUGAAACUGCAUAUCUUGAGAAGAGUAGAGGUAAGUGGAAUUUUUAGUGUAGCGGUGAAAUGCGUAGAUAUUAAAAAGAAUACCGGAGGCGAACGCGACUUACUGGGCUCAUUCUGACGCUGAGGAACGAAAGCGUAGGUAGCAAACAGG